CCUUUGGUUUUGCUAUAAGGAUAAUGCUGGCUUCUUAGAAUGAAUAUGGAAGUUUCCCUUCCUUUUCUAUUUUUUGGUAUAUUUUGGGAAAAAUAGGUAUUAA